GACAGAGGAUGCAAGCGUUAUCCGGAAUGAUUGGGCGUAAAGCGUCUGUAGGUGGCUUUUCAAGUCCGCCGUCAAAUCCCAGGGCUCAACCCUGGACAGGCGGUGGAAACUGCCAAGCUGGAGUACGGUAGGGGCAGAGGGAAUUUCCGGUGGAGCGGUGAAAUGUGUAGAGAUCGGGAGGAACACCGGUGGCGAAGGCGGGUCUCUGGGCAUUUCCUGACGCUGAGGCGCGAAAGCGUGGGGAGCAAACGGG
rnacentral:rRNA from 1 species